ACCAAGAACUUGGGAAAUAUACUGGUUCACCUGGAGUCACUCUGUCUGUCACAGAUCUGCAGGUGCAGGUGAGCAGAUCAAAGUAUUCUCCCUGGGCAGAGCUGAAGUGUCACAGCAGCUGUCGUCUACCUGGCCAUCCUUCCUACAUCUGGUACAAGAACGGACAGAAAAUUCAGGAAGAAACAUCUACAUAUUCAGGCCCCUUUGAUCCUGCAGGCAGCUUUUCCUGUGCUGUACGAGGAUAUGAGAAGUCCCGCUCUCCUUCAGUGUAUGCUCCAAAGUUUCCCUCCGUGUCAGCGAGUCCCUCUGGUGAUUUAGUGGAGGGCAGUUCAGUAAAUCUGACUUGUAGCUGUGAUGCUAAGCCAGCAGCUAACUAUAUCUGGUACAAGAGGACUAAAAAUCCAG